UGGCGGACGGGGGAGUAAUGUCUGGGAAACUGCCCGAUGGAGGGGGGUAACUACUGGAAACGGUAGCUAAUACCGCAUAACGUCGCAAGACCAAAGAGGGGACCUUCGGGCCUCUUGCCAUCGGAUGUGCCCAGAUGGGAUUAGCUAGUAGGUGGGGUAACGGCUCACCUAGGCGACGAUCCCUAGCUGGUCUGAGAGGAUGACCAGCCACACUGGAACUGAGACACGGUCCAG
rnacentral:rRNA from 1 species